GGGUGGACGGUACCGUAAAAAUAAGCCACGGGCUAAACUCUGUGCCAGCAGCCCGCGGUAAGACAGAGGUGGGCAAGCGUUGUUCGGAUUUACUGGGCUUAAAGGGCGUGUAGGCGUCUUGAUAAGUCAGAUGUGGAAGCCUUUGGGCUUAACCCAAGAAUUGCAUUUGAAACUGUCAAGAUUGAGUCGUGCAUGGGAGGGCGGAAUUCCUGGUGUAGCGGUGAAAUGCGUAGAUAUCAGGAGGAAGGCCGGUGGUGAAGAUGGCCCUCUGGGCAAUGACUGACGCUGAGGCGCGAAAGCGUGGGUAGCAAACAGGAUUAGAUACCCUGGUAGUCCACGCCCUAAACGGUGGGUACUAGGUGUGGGUGGCGAUAGUCAUCCGUGCCGAAGGGAAACCAUUAAGUACCCCGCCUGGGGAGUACGGCCGCAAGGUUGAAACUCAAAGGAAUUGACGGGGGCCCGCACAAGCGGUGGAGCAUGUGGUUUAAUUCGACGCUACGCGCAAAACCUUACCUAGGCUUGACAUGUAAGUAGUAGUGAACCGAAAGGGGGACGAUUCCGAGCAAUCGGAAAGCUUACACAGGUGCUGCAUGGCUGUCGUCAGCUCGCGCCGUGAGGUGUUGGGUUAAGUCCCGCAACGAGCGCAACCCUCAUCCUCUGUUGCCCUUUACUGGGCACUCUGAGGAAACUGCCGGCGAUGAGCUGGAGGAAGGUGGGGAUGACGUCAAGUCCGCAUGGCCCUUAUGCCUAGGGCUACACACGUGCUACAAUGGUAGAAACAAAGGGUGGCCAAUCUGCGAAGAGGAGCCAAUCCCACAAAAUCUAUCCAAGUUGGGAUCGGAGUCUGCAAUUCGACUCCGUGAACCUGGAAUCGCUAGUAAUCGUGGAUCAGCACGCCACGGUGAAUACGUUCCCGGGCCUUGUACACACCGCCCGUCACACCACGAAAGUCUGUUGUACCCGAAGUAGGUGAGCUAACCCGCAAGGGAGGCAGCCUCCUAAGGUAUGGCCGGUAAUUGGGGUGAAGUCGUAACAAGGUAGCC
rnacentral:rRNA from 1 species